UGGUCGUCCGAACGCACCCAUUUGUUUCGAGCUUCUUUCAUAUGUUGUAUAAUCCGUGUAUAUUGUUAUUAUCCACGAAUUAUGCGACAUUUGACAGAAGCUGGAAACAAAACGAGAAUCUAAUUCGCACACUUUAACCAACGUUGCCAAGUCGCUAAAAUCUCGAACUUUGACACCAAUUUGACAAUUGACAGAUGAUCGACGGUAAAUUGUAAAUAUAAAUAAUCUUGAAAUAUAAAAUAAAACUUAUAUUUUAUAUUUAUAUUCUAAGAAAUAAAUCAAAUCCAAAUCAUAUAUCCUAACAACAAUAACUAAGUCGGGAACGGGACCAAUGGAUAAAAGCCAAAAAAAGGAAAACAGAUCUAAAAUUAAACCUCAAUCAACGCCAAAACAUAGUGUACCAAAGCCAGGCAAUAAAAAGAAAUGGUGAUCUAGAACGCAAGGAAAUAGCUGAUAAAAGAAAUAAAAGUGAAGAAAAUAAUGCUGAGACUUCUCUCGACCAUGAACAAACACCACUAACACCAGAUAUUUUAAAUGUAGGAACAGGAGAAACUGCUGGAACUUAACACAAAGGGGUUUGACUAGUGAAGAUUUGGAUAAACAAAA
rnacentral:lncRNA from 1 species